GGGUCGUUAGCUCAGUUGGUAGAGCAGUUGACUUUUAAUCAAUUGGUCGCAGGUUCGAGCCGAGCGGCAGCGAGACAACGGCGACAGCCGGUAAUCCUGCAAACCCGCCA
rnacentral:tRNA from 1 species